CCUACGGGAGGCAGCAGUGAGGAAUAUUGGUCAAUGGACGAGAGUCUGAACCAGCCAAGCAGCGUGAAGGAUGACUGCCCUCUGGGUUGUAAACUUCUUUUAUAUGGGAAUAAAAUGUUCCACGUGUGGGAUUUUGUAUGUACCAUAUGAAUAAGGAUCGGCUAACCCCGUGCCAGCAGCAGCGGUAAUACGGAGGACCCGAGCGUUGUCCGGAUUUAUUGGGUUUAAGGGGCGCGUAGGGGGAUUGUUAAGUCAGUUGUGAAAGUCUGGGGCUCAACCGUAAAAUUGCAGUUGAAACUGGCAGUCUGGAGUACAGGAGAGGUGGGCGGAAUUCGUGGUGUAGCGGUGAAAUGCUUAGAUAUCACGAAGAACUCCGAUUGCGAAGGCAGUUCACUGGACUGCAACUGACACUGAGGCUCGAAAGUGUGGGUAUCAAACAGGAUUAGAUACCCCAGUAGUC
rnacentral:rRNA from 1 species